AGUACGUCUAAAGUAGCAGUAAAAUGCUUUAAUCUUAGACGGACUAACAAUAGCGAAGGCACUUUACGAGAACAGUUCUGACAGUAAGGGAUGAAGGCUAGGGGCGCAAAACGGAUUAGAUACCCGUGUAGUCCUAGCAGUAAACACUGCACACUAAACAUCAGUACCUCCUCGAGAGGUAUUGGUGCUGAAGGGAAGCCGAAGAGUGUGCUACCUGGGAAGUAUAGUCGCAAGGUCGAAACUUAAAGGAAUUGGCGGGGAGACACUACAACGGGUGACGCGUGCGGUUCAAUUAGAUUAUACACCGUGAACCUCACCAGGAGCGACAGCAGAAUGAAGGUCAGUCUGAAGGGCUUACCUGACACGCUGAGAGGAGUUGCAUGGCCGACGUCAGCCUGUGUCGUGAGAUGACCUGUUAAAUCAGGUAACAGGCAAGACCCACAUGUCUAUUUGUUAUUACGAUAGACAGAUUGCCUUGGUAACAAGGAUGAAAGCGUGGGCUACGUUAGGUGAGUACGGCCCGAACCCCCUGGGCGACACGCGCGCGUCAAUGGUGAAUA
rnacentral:rRNA from 1 species